GAACACGCAAUGAUAGAAUCAACAGUAAUGUUUAUCUCCCUGUUAAAGAGAGCUGAUGGUUGGUGCAAAUCAGCACAAAGAUAAACAUGAAUUUCGGGUUCUGGAGCAUCCUUCCCUUCACAAAGAUGAGGAAGGACGGUCGAAUUUCGAUCGUUAACAAAAAAAGAGUGGCAGAAGAAGAUAUUUUCUGCAACUAGGGUGGUACCGCGAUAAACAUCGUCCCUACU
rnacentral:ncRNA from 1 species